rnacentral:rRNA from 1 species
UACAGAGGUCUCAAGCGUUGUUCGGAUUCAUUGGGCGUAAAGGGUGCGUAGGCGGCGCGGUAAGUCGGGUGUGAAAUCUCGGAGCUUAACUCCGAAACUGCAUUCGAUACUGCCGUGCUUGAGGACUGGAGAGGAGACUGGAAUUUACGGUGUAGCGGUGAAAUGCGUAGAUAUCGUGAAGGAAGACCAGUGGCGAAUGG